rnacentral:rRNA from 1 species
AGAUGCGAUCACACCAGCACUAACGCACCGGAUCCCAUCGGAGCUCCGAAGUUAAGCGUGCUUGGGUGAGAAUAAUACUAAGACGGGCUUUGUCACAGGACUUCCACAGACACAUACA